CAUCAUCAUGCCGCCACCGAAUACCCUCCCCAGACGAAAUAUACACAUGCGCCGCCAUAAAAUAGUGCAGCCAAAAUGGAACGUGCAAUUGAUGUGCGGUUUCAUUUGAUGCUUUUGUUUAUCUUUGACUAUUAAAUGAUUUUUGGGGGGUAAUUUUGACGAUGUAAGCUGAAUGAAAGUGUUUCAUUUAAAGUCCAGGAGCAUUCCAGAUGUUUACGCGCACUGAUACAAGAGAAGGUACAGUGGUUCUGUGGGAAAUAUACUCGGUGCAGGGCGACCAUUGUGAGGUCAACCCAGAGGUACAAGAUGCCACAUGGGUCUGGUGAUCUUUGAAGUGUUCAGCUUCAAGUGUGGAAAUCAUCUAAUACCUACAGCAGGAUGCUGAGACAAAACAACCAGCCCCUUGAUGGGAACAACAGUAGCUGUUGCAAUGUUAUAUUCCAUACACAUCCAAAUAUAAACAGGUGACAGAGCAAAACUAUUGGCAAUGGCAGGACAUCCAGCUUACCCGGGUUCUGUUACCAAUGUUAGUCAGGUCCUAAAAUAUUACAGCUGUCCAGCCUCUUGGAAACCCAGACUUCGGGGACUGUGCCUCUGGUACAGUGGGGGCUUGUUCAGCUAAGUUAGAUGGGUUUGCUGGAUGUCAAGGCCACAAAUAAUGUUUCGUUCCUUUUGCUCUUGUUCCUGAUGGUACUUCAGCCCUGCACAGAGACAAUGCUGUUAAACUCCUGCUAAUAUGGCUGAUCUCGCGUUUUCUUCCUCGUAUGCUUCGCUGGCAGCAGCCACUUUCGUCUCCAGUGUGGUCUGAUCAGGGUCUGGGAUAUCAAGCAAAGCAAAUACGGGUUAGACAGUAGUAACACCAUACCUGUCCUAACAAUACAUCAGGAGGGGUGAUAUCCGCCUUGAAUGUUCCAGAAGCCUAUUUCCAGAGAACACUUAAUUGAUAUAUUCACAGAAUUUAAAACAAGAGGUGUUUAAAACUGAAGCAUGCGCAAUUUUGGCACAUACUGAUACCUUGGCAACUAGCGUCGCUGACAACACCACCAAAUGGUUGAAAGCAAACAAGGCAUUCUUGUACCUUGUAUAAGUGGGUCACUUCCAACCCUUUCUCCAUGUACCAUUUCAGUAAGGAUGUGGCCAACAGGAUCUUUACAUGCAUCCAAUGAGUGAGUCUGGGUUUAGACACGAUGUUGUGCAUUCUGGCAUACGGUUUCAUAUAGCCUCCAAUAUCGGCGAUAGAGAUGUCGCAGUUCUUGAAGGUUGGAGACAUUUCAGCAAACAUUUCUUAUGGAUAGUAAAGAACGACAAUAUUAUGGUACCGUUGUUCGGUGGGUGUCUUGCACCUUAUGGUACCUGUGUAGGUGGGUGUCUUGCGCCAAGCCAAAACUUCAGACACUUGCUUUGUUUUUUGCAUGUUUUGCCAAUAGCACUCCCACAUUUCAACCACGUCAAACUCCUCGUGCCUUAGCUUGUUGUGUGCACCGUUUACAGAUACAAUUCAAUCAUGAGCUUGCCGUUGUUUUUAUUGUAGGUGGCACCUUGGUUUAGAGUGCAAUUUUGGCCGUGCCAAUAACAACCACGAAACUGAAAACUUUGCUUCGUCUCAGAGCAGAAACCGUCCAUGGGAAUUUGCUGAUGGCCAAUGCAUUUCUCCGUGUUAUAUUUUAUGUUGGAUUUGGAUCGCACGUUUUUGUGAUAAGUACACAACCACCAAGCACACAUUUGCCAUAUUGGUGUUUCGGAACACAUUUUCUUGAAAUCAUUAUUUUUCUCGCACUUUCUGUACUCCCAGUGGGCAUGUCCUGCAUCAAGGCCCACAGAUACCACGUAUUUGCGUAGUAUACAAUUAUGUUCUUACAGAGUUUGGGAAACCAUGGCCCUCAUGUCUUGUUCCCGAAUUUAUGUCACAUCUUUUUGAUGGUAUCUAUGG